GAUGAACGCUGGCGGCGUGCCUAAUACAUGCAAGUCGAGCGAACAGACGAGGGGCUUGCUCCUCUGACGUUAGCGGCGGACGGGUGAGUAACACGUGGAUAACCUACCUAUAAGACUGGGAUAACUUCGGGAAACCGGAGCUAAUACCGGAUAAUAUAUUGAACCGCAUGGUUCAAUAGUGAAAGCCGGUUUUGCUGUCACUUAUAGAUGGAUCCGCGCCGCAUUAGCUAGUUGGUAAGGUAACGGCUUACCAAGGCAACGAUGCGUAGCCGACCUGAGAGGGUGAUCGGCCACACUGGAACUGAGACACGGUCCAGACUCCUACGGGAGGCAGCAGUAGGGAAUCUUCCGCAAUGGGCGAAAGCCUGACGGAGCAACGCCGCGUGAGUGAUGAAGGCCUUCGGAUCGUAAAACUCUGUUAUUAGGGAAGAACAAAUGUGUAAGUAACUAUGCACGUCUUGACGGUACCUAAUCAGAAAGCCACUGCUAACUACGUG
rnacentral:rRNA from 1 species